UUCGUAGGGGGCAAGCGUUGUCCGGAAUCAUUGGGCGUAAAGAGCGUGUAGGCGGUCCGUUAAGUCGGCUGUGAAAGUCCAAGGCUCAACCUUGGGAUGCCGGUCGAUACUGCCGGACUAGAGUUCGGAAGAGGCGAGUGGAAUUCCCGGUGUAGCGGUGAAAUGCGCAGAUAUCGGGAGGAACACCUAUGGCGAAGGCAGCUCGCUGGGACGUUACUGACGCUGAGGCGCGAUAGCAUGGGGAGCAAACAGG
rnacentral:rRNA from 1 species